AUUGAACGCUGGCGGAAUGCUUUACACAUGCAAGUCGAACGGUAGGGGGGGCAACCCCUCGAGAGUGGCGAACGGGUGAGUAAUAUAUCGGAACGUGCCCAGUCGUGGGGGAUAACGUAGCGAAAGUUACGCUAAUACCGCAUACGAUCUAAGGAUGAAAGCGGGGGAUCGCAAGACCUCGCGCGAUUGGAGCGGCCGAUAUCAGAUUAGGUAGUUGGUGGGGUAAAGGCUCACCAAGCCAACGAUCUGUAGCUGGUCCGAGAGGACGACCAGCCACACUGGAACUGAGACACGGUCAGACUCCUACGGGAGGCAGCAGUGGGGAAUUUUGGACAAUGGACGCAAGUCUGAUCCAGCCAUUCCGCGUGCAGGAUGAAGGCCCUCGGGUUGUAAACUGCUUUUGUACGGAACGAAAAGGUCUCUCUUAAUACGGGGGACUCAUGACGGUACCGUAAGAAUAAGCACCGGCUAACUACGUGCCAGCAGCCGCAGUAAUAC
rnacentral:rRNA from 1 species